GGUAGAACUAAUUGCAACAGAAUUUUUAUUUACACUGUCCGAAAGAACCUACAUUUAUGUACAGUAUGUAAAAAGUCCUGCUCAUUUUACUAUGUAAUAACUCGGGAAAAGGAGUUUAAAAAUGAAAAAUACCAAGUUUUUAAAGAUGUCGUGAACGGUACACCAUACCCGAGAUUUUUUACUGUCACGCGCUAAAAGUGAUGACGUCAUUGUGAAAGUAUCAUGGCGGCACCCGUGUAAAAUUUUGAAAGGUUCCCAUAUCAUCGUAGAAACACCACAUUUAGCAUAAAGAGAAGGUAGAAGAAAGCUGGUAUCGAACAGAACUGUUUUGUGAAUGUGUAGAAUUUGGCAAUACAACGAAUUAUUUCAACAAAAUAAGGCAGCUGGUAUUGAAGAGGAUGGUUUCGUGAAUGUCUAAGAUGUGGCGAAUCAGUGGAAAAGAUGAAUUAAAUGUGAGAAACGUAGAUGGUUUAGGAAACGCUUAAAUGUCAUGAGAAGAGAGAUUACAGCAAGAAGAUGGAGGACUGUCCUAUUUGUCAGAAAAACAUAGAAGAUUGUGAUACACCCACUGUGCGUCUUGGAGAGAAAGGCUGUACUGGAAUUAUCAGUGCCAACAGCAGAAAUGAACGUCCGGUGGAGGUGAAACCUGGGGAUAUAGUCCACACUCAAUGUCGGAAAGACUUUACAAGACCUCGAAAAAACUCGAAAGCAUUGACACCUAUCAUUGUUUCUCCCCCAAGAGUUCUUAGAUCUGACACUGAACAAUUUGAUUUUAAAUCAAAAUGCUUAUUUUGUGCUUCAUUUGCUAAAUGUUCUUCAUUUUCAAGAAAAAGAUCGCAUGAUGUCUAUCUCGUUCGUAGCUUUGAUUUUCAAAAU
rnacentral:lncRNA from 1 species